AGCGAAUAGAUACCCAGGUAGUCCAUGCUGUAAACGAUGAGAACUAGAUGUUAGGGGGCAUGACCUCUUAGUAUCGAAGCUAACGCGAUAAGUUCUCCGCCUGGGGAGUACGGCCGCAAGGUUAAAACUCAAAGAAAUUGACGGGGGCCCGCACAAGCGGUGGAGCAUGUGGUUUAAUUCGAUGCAACGCGAAGAACCUUACCUACCUUUGAAUCCACGGAACCUAGCAGAGAUGUUGGGGUGCCUUCGGGAGCCGUGAGACAGGUGCUGCAUGGCUGUCGUCAGCUCGUGUCGUGAGAUGUUGGGUUAAGUCCCGUAACGAGCGCAACCCUUGUCCUUAGUCGCCAUCAGGUUAUGCUGGGCACUUUAAGGAGACUGCCGGUGAUAAACCGGAGGAAGGUGGGGAUGACGUCAAGUCCUCAUGGCCCUUACAGGUAGGGCUACACACGUGCUACAAUGGGCAGUACAGAGGGAAGCCAACCCGCGAGGGGAGCGAAUCUCAUAAAGCUGUUCGUAGUCCGGAUUGGAGUCUGCAAC
rnacentral:rRNA from 1 species